ACGACUCUCGGCAACGGAUAUCUCGGCUCACGCAUCGAUGAAGAACGUAGCAAAAUGCGAUACUUGGUGUGAAUUGCAGAAUCCCGUGAACCAUCGAGUUUUUGAACGCAAGUUGCGCCCGAAACCAUUUGGUGGAGGGCACGUCUGCCUGGGCGUCACGC
rnacentral:rRNA from 1 species